rnacentral:tRNA from 1 species
GCGCAUAGCUCAGUUGGUAGAGCAGCUGACUCUUAAUCAGCGGGUCGUAGGUUCGAGUCCUACACAGGGCA